rnacentral:rRNA from 1 species
AGAGUUUGAUCAUGGCUCAGGACGAACGCUGGCGGCGUGCUUAACACAUGCAAGUCGAGCGGAAAGGCCCUUCGGGGUACUCGAGCGGCGAACGGGUGAGUAACACGUGAGUAACCUGCCCUUGGCUCUGGGAUAAGCCCGGGAAACUGGGUCUAAUACCGGAUAUGACCACCUUCUGCAUGGAGGGUGGUGGAAAGUUUUUCGGCUGGGGAUGGACUCGCGGUCUAUCAGCUUGUUGGUGGGGUGAUGGCCUACCAAGGCGACGACGGAUAGCCGGCCUGAGAGGGCGACCGGCCACACUGGGACUGAGACACGGCCCAGACUCCUACGGGAGGCAGCAGUGGGGAAUAUUGCGCAAUGGGCGAAAGCCUGACGCAGCGACGCCGCGUGAGGGACGAAGGCCUUCGGGUUGUAAACCUCUUUCAGCAGGGACGAAGCGAGAGUGACGGUACCUGCAGAAGAAGCACCGGCCAACUACGUGCCAGCAGCGGCGGUAAUUC